rnacentral:rRNA from 1 species
UACGGAGGGGGCUAGCGUUGUUCGGAAUUACUGGGCGUAAAGCGCACGUAGGCGGCUUUGUAAGUUAGAGGUGAAAGCCCGGAGCUCAACUCCGGAAUUGCCUCUAAGACUGCAUCGCUAGAAUUGUGGAGAGGUGAGUGGAAUUCCGAGUGUAGAGGUGAAAUUCGUAGAUAUUCGGAAGAACACCAGUGGCGAAGGCGACUCACUGGACACAUAUUGACGCUGAGGUGCGAAAGCGUGGGGAGCAAACAGG